CCUACGGGGGGCAGCAGUGGGGAAUAUUGGACAAUGGGCGAAAGCCUGAUCCAGCCAUGCCGCGUGUGUGAAGAAGGCCUUCGGGUUGUAAAGCACUUUCAGUGGGGAAGAAAGCCUUGGGGCUAAUACCCUCGAGGAAGGACAUCACCCACAGAAGAAGCACCGGCUAACUCCGUGCCAGCAGCCGCGGUAAUACGGAGGGUGCGAGCGUUAAUCGGAAUUACUGGGCGUAAAGCGCGCGUAGGCGGUCUGAUAAGCCGGUUGUGAAAGCCCCGGGCUCAACCUGGGAACGGCAUCCGGAACUGUCAGGCUAGAGUGCAGGAGAGGAAGGUGGAAUUCCCGGUGUAGCGGUGAAAUGCGUAGAGAUCGGGAGGAAUACCAGUGGCGAAGGCGGCCUUCUGGACUGACACUGACGCUGAGGUGCGAAAGCGUGGGUAGCAAACAGGAUUAGAUACCCGAGUAGUC
rnacentral:rRNA from 1 species